UACGGAGGGUGCAAGCGUUAAUCGGAAUUACUGGGCGUAAAGCGCGCGUAGGCGGCUGGAUAAGUCGAUUGUGAAAGCCCCGGGCUCAACCUGGGAAUUGCAGUCGAGACUGUUCGGCUAGAGUGUGGGAGAGGGUGGUGGAAUUCCCGGUGUAGCGGUGAAAUGCGUAGAUAUCGGGAGGAAUAUUUAAUGAUACGGCGACCACCGGGAUCUACACUGACGCUGAGGUGCGAAAGCGUGGGUAGCAAACAGG
rnacentral:rRNA from 1 species